CUAAAUGCCCAUGUAAUAUCCUAAUUAUAGAUAUGGUCGAAAACAUACCGAUAAUAAGGACUCUACUAGACACGGCUCCGAGACAUCCUAGGACACUUUAAAACCUUAGGCUUUGAUACCAAGUUUGUCACGCCCAAAAAUCCGAGGAGCGCGGUCGGCGCUCAACUGACUGAACUCGACCGAGCAAGCCUGUUAGAUUUCAUUCUACCCAAACUCAUUCACGAAUGGAGAUAAUACAUAUUUUUAUUAAUUAGACAAAAAAGUGUUCAUGUCUACAAUACCAAUUCAUUUCUAAUAGUCUCAUCAUUUUUAAAGUCUCAAAUGGACAAAUAAUACAACCACAACAUAACAUAUUCUAUCUUUCCCAGUACUAAUACACAACCCACACUAUGUCUACAGAGCCUCUAUAGAUAAGGAAGAGUAUAAUGAUAAUGCCGGCAACAAGGCCCCGGCUAUACCUCAAACAUAAUACACAAAAGACAAAAGAUACAUGACCCCGGAAUGAAGUGGGGCUCACCAAGUCAGCUGGGAAGAAGGUGUGCUGCUAUCACUGAUCAAUACCUCCUGCUGUAGAACCACCUGCAUCCAUUUAAAGAUGCAGCGCCCCCGGCAAAAAGGACGUUAGUACUGUCGAAUAGUAGUAGUAUGAAAACCAAACACCAAUUUAAGAAUUUAGAAAUACAAUAUGAAUAUGAUGAAUCAGGGCGACAAUAGCAUGAUAUAGAUAACCGUUUAAACCAGAGCAAGCUUAUUAAGAGCUAUCAAUAUCAUUUAUAGAAUUUAAGAUGAGAUCCUCUGUAACCAUCUUCACACAAAUCGGCCCCGCUGCCUCACCCGAUGUAUGCAGGUGGAGGUGUAAGUACAAUACCACAACUCUACUCAAGCGGCCCCAUCGCCUCACUCCAAUGUAUGCGGGUGGAUGUAUAACCACAGUACCAAGAACCUACACAAUGCGGCUAUACUGCCUCACCCCAAUGUAUGCGGGUGGAAAUACAUCAACGAUACCAAUACCAACACAAAGCGGCUAUGUCGCCUCACCCCAAUAUAUAUGUGUGGGUGGUGGUGCCACAACAAUACCAACACUAUUCACAAAGCGAUCGUACCGCCUCACCCCAAUGUAUGCGGGAGGAGGUGAAGUCCCACAAUACCAUAAUCUCUACACAAAGCGGUCAUGCCACCUCACCCCAAUAUAUGCGGGUGGAGGUGUAUCACAAUCACAAUCUCUGUACUAUAAUCCCCACACAAAGCGGUCAUGCUGCCUCACCCCAAUAUAUGCGGGUGGAGGUGUAUCACAAUCAUAAUCUCUACACAACUUGGCAUAAUAACUUUCACAUAAAUCACAACUUGAAAUUAUAACAUGUGGAUACACAAUCCAUAGUUUGGAACACAUCCUCAAUUUAUAAUGCACUAUGAUCAGAGCAAACACGAAUUGAACAUAUAUCUUUAUCACAAAACUUAUCGGAAUACUUGAUUUGUAAUCAACAUCUUGGAGCUUACAUGGAUAAUGGGAAUUCCAAUUUUUAAAGAAGAGUUUAGCCAACAUACCUCACUUGAGCUUCUUUAAACUCUAAAAUGUUCCGGAAUUCUUAGCAACUUCUAUCUAUUGUAGAAAUAUAACAAACUGAACCAAAAUUAGGAAGAUGCUCAUGGUUCUAGCUCAUUUGAGCAUUUUAUCAAACACUAGGUGUGCAUUACGGUUUCAAGAUCCUUUUAUGGAGGAUUCCCUAAACCCACAACCCAAUCUUUACCAUUUUUAGCUCAACAAUCUUCCUACACCAUUUGAUAACACAUGCAUGUAAAAUAAACAACUCUCAUGCCCAAAACGUAUCUUGCUAAUUACCCAUUUCUAGACAAAAUUGGAAAUUGAGGGUUAGGGGUGUAGAAUCUUUCCUCUAGGAUGAAGACCUGGUGAGUUUCCCUUCUUAAACUUCCAAAACUUGAGCAAGAAUUGAAGAACAAUUAUUAAAGAACACCUUCUCACUCUAGGACACUCUUUCUUACUCUAAAAAUAACUGAUUUUAGGCCAAAGUGAAUUAACCCCUCUCUAUACCCAGUCUUGGGGUUAUUUAAUGAGUUCCUACGUGCGCGGCCGCGCAUUGGCCGCGCACCUGAGGCAGAAACUCUCAAAUAUGCGUGGGCACACAUCUGGGCGCGCAUAUGACACAGGUCCAAUAAAAUGGCCAUAACAUUCUGUAUACAUAUCCAAAUGACAAAAGGUUUGAUGCGUUGGAAACUAGAUUCAAAGGGCUUUACUUUGAUAGGUAGAUCACCACCUAAGUCAUUAUAGUGAGGGAUUUAUAUUCAUUGGAAGUUGGGUCUUGUGCCAAUUGAAACAUCCUUUCCAGUUAAUGUGUCCAACUUGUUCCACACACGCUCUUGCCAUUCCCAAAACACCUUAGUAUGUUCAAACACACCCUAAACAUACAUUAUCAAUUCAACAUGAUGUGGCUCUAUCCCAUAGGUCUCCUUUAAUACUCAAAUACGUUAUUCCCAAAUACCGUUGGCGCACUUUUAAAUCUUAAUUUAUUAUAAAAUAUUUAUGGGGCCUUACGGCACAGAUAUGUCGCCUAUCCAGAACAUUAUGCAAGCACGAUAUCGGGGAGAGGUAGUAAGAGUUCCCGGCCAAGAUGUUAUUGAUAAAUAAGUGCGAAUGGACACUUGAUACAUCAGGAGCCAUUGCAAGAGGUAAGUUAAGACAAAGUACAUAUACCAAGAGAGAUUACGUGGAAUAUAUAUAUGAGAAUGGACCAACGAGUAGUUAGUAGUUAAUUCGGGAAGAGCCUAGUUAUGGCUAGACAAGAGGAUACAAGCAAAUCAGCAGAUCAUGCAAGAUAAAUGUAGUAAACCCAACAUAGUGAAUUCAACCUCGCAGAUAUGACAUAUUGAUCCUUGAGAAAUAUUCAUAUAGGAGUCAGGGUAGUUAAAGGUACCGUAUAAGUAUUACGAAAAUAAAAGAGAGUGCCACUAGGGAGACAAUUUAAAUUUUAAUUCAGAAGCAACCCUACGAGCACAGGGGCGCAAAGAUAAGUAAAUAAGGAUAAUUAUAGGCAAGUAAGAACAUCAAAAAUUCCUUCGGGUAUACGAUGUAAUAAGCUCGCAGCUUUACAGGAGUCAGAGGGUCUCCCCUAAAUACUAUAAAGAAAGACUAGCUGGGGAUAUAGGGAAGAAGGCUUCAACUUAAGCAUAGUGACACGAAGAAGAAAUGGUCUUGUAACAACAGUCCCACUACAACAUUUUAUGCACUCCAUAAGAAAGUGGCACCUAUCCUGGCUAAUGAACGGGAAGAAAAAAAAUCAAAAGUGAUAUUUGAGAUCAUAGGAGUUACAGAAAAUUCCAGUAUUCGUGGGAAAUAAGAUAAGCCAAGUAUUCAUGCAACAAGUGGCAAAACGACCAGGAAAAGUAAUUGCUUACAUUUAAAGACAACUGAGAAGGCACGAAAGGAAAUCUAUAGUGCUAGCAAAUUAAAGGAAGGUUGCGAGAAGUAUAAAUAGAUAGGUGUAGGUCGCAAGCUAAAGUAUGGUAGAGCGAUAAUGUUUUAGGUAGAGAGGAGUAAGGAUAAGAAAAGGUGAGUGAGAAUGUGACAAGAAUAGGUAAGGCAUCGUGAUUAAGCCCAUCAAAUCAAGAGAGCUGAUGGUUUCCUUAAGUUAUAGAAAGUUCAAUAUCGCCUGAAUGAACUUGGAGGAGACUAAGAGUAGGAGCAAUUAGGAGAGAUGAAAUACUGUCGUGGUAGUAGAACAAGGGUGUAAUUGUGAUAGAUAAGAGGAUGAGGUUUAUGCCUUUGAUUGAGUAAUGAUUUAAAAAAAAAGAGAUUUCAUGAAUUGCACAGGAUUAUAAUAACCCAAUAAGAUGAAUCACGUUGGUAUGCUAUGAAAUACUGUUGUUGAAGUAUAGUAUCAUCCCUAGGUAGAUCAGGCAAAUCACUUCAAAUGUUCCCCGAUGUGAAGUGAGCCCUAGUGACAAUAUAUUACGCAAGAGGUUUCAAGUUAUCAGUUAUAGAUUAUAUAUCAACAUUAAGGUGAAUCAACAAUGGAUGGAUAAAAGUUACAAAGUAUUAGACGAGAUUAGGCUGUCAUCCUUAAGAUGAAUAGUAAUGAAAAAGCAUUAAAGGACUUAGAUUUAUGAUACAUGGUAAGCAACGAGAGUAUCCUAGAGUUGAGUAGCAGACCUCAGUAAUAAUAAACUGAAGUAAGUGUUAUGGUGUAGUAUGACCUACCUAGAUGCAGUAAAGCCAUGAGGAUAGAUAAUCAAGGCUAUUAAACAAAAUAUAGCAAUAGUCGUAAGUUCGACAAAGUACCGAGCGAAUAAUAUUAGUACACCUACAGAUUUCCAUAGGGACAACUUAUCAUAGUACUGCAUAUGUUCACAAAGUGAGGACUAGAGAUUGGCUAAAAGCUGGAGGAAAAAUGAGAGAAGAUAGCAUAGGCGCAGAUACAAGGACAGAGUCGUACAAGCUGCAUGACAUAAGGUAGCAACAGUUACGACAUUGGAAGAAUUUCGACCACAGGUUGUGGUAUGAGAAAGAGGCCUAAAGGGGGGAAUGCCAUGGCCUUUGAAUUUAUUCACAAAACAGUUACCUAGAUGGCAAGGACAGUGCCAAAUUAUUCAUAAGAGCUAUCCGGUUAUGAGACCGAUAAGCGCAUCCGUCAACAUUCAAGGACGAAUGUUCCUAAGGGGGGAAUAAUGUUAUACCCUAUGUUUUCAUACAUAAAAGUACAUCAUAAGUCAAUUGAUGUAAGCUUAAACAUGAGAUCAUCUUUGAAAGUAAAUAAAUUAAGUUAAUAAUGUUAAUUUGGAGGUUACAAAUAUUAAAAAUCAUGGAUAACAAGUAUCAAGAGGGUUAGAAGGCUUAGAAACUAAACAAAUUGAAGAAAAUAAGUUUCGUCGAAAGUUCACAUGAGGCUAAGCCAAGAUAUUUUUAUUUUGUGGGAAAUGCAUUUAAAUCAAAAUGUUCAAUAAACUGAGAUCACAGUCCAUAAUAUACCGACCAUCAUAGAAGAUGUAAGGUUUCUUGAUUGAAAGGUUCAAAUUUGUACGAAUUUGAACUGUAUCUAGAAGAAUUCCUUAUUUUUGUCCAUUACCAAUAUCACAACAUUAAAACCAAAAAGAUUGAGACUAAUCAAAAUGGAUUUAAGUUUCACUUUACAUAUAUUGUGAAUAAAAAUUCAAUGCACCUAUGUAAUAUGUAUAGUAUAACAGUUCUACAGAAGAAUUAUCUAAUUGACCUCAACUAUUUCGAGAUUGAGACGUAAUUAAUUGACCGAAUAAAAAGAAUUCAAAGACAUCAACAAAGGUGGCUUACCAUAAUGCGGGUGACGUUUGAACAACCAGUAUUUUCGAUCUUCAUACUACAGCAGAAGUGACAAAGACUAAUCAGAAAAAGUAGUUCUAAGAAAAAUAAAAAAUAAAUCAAUUUUGGGCCAUGAAAUUUUUUGCAUAUGGAAUAGAACUAAAUAGAUUUCAAAGGUCAUAAAGUUUUGACAGGAAAUUCAUAUACAAAUAUCGGAUAUUUUGAGAUUUUUCCAUCUCCUGGCUACCAAUUGGUACAACUUUUCCUUUCUAGUUAGAAUACUUCAUGGACAAUUACCAAACAUUCCGAUAUUUUUGUUUACAUCUCCGGCAACAGAUCGGUACAAAUUUUCAUUUUUCUCUACUCCUUUUUCGUCUUUGCUUUUGGUAGAACAAAUGGAGGAGUGGAAGGGUCUGACAUUUUAGUCCGUUAGACUGCAGGACUUAUUUUCAGAAAAGUCCAACUAAAAUAAUUGAAACUAAAAUCCUCAAAGUGUAAGAAGGCAAUUUAUGAAUAUUUCGUCAAAGAUUAAAGAGUCACAUAAAUAAUCUUAAAAAUAGCCAAAAGAAGCACAUUUGAUUGCAACAAUUAACCUAAAUUCAAGAAGGGAAAUAGAGUAUAUUUGAUAUAAUUCACACAAAAUACCAGGGCAAGAUGAAAGAAAACCUAAAAAUCUCAGAAAGAGAAAAAGGGAAUUUACCUAUUGAAGUAAGUAAAGAAGAGAAAGAAGCCGCUGAAAGCGUUUCAAUAGAAGAGCAAGAGGAGUGAAACGAUGUAUUGCCGUAUUGGAACAAAUAAGAGGAAGAGACGCAAUUAAAGUGACUUUUCGUUUUUUAGUAUUGCACAUAAAUAGGUAAAAUAGGGAAAAGCUACAAAAAUUUGUGAUAAAGGAAAAAUAUGUAUACUGAUUGAUAAGAGGUGCCACAUCAAAUUUUUUGGGCUCUGCUUUAUAUAUAUAUAUAGAUUGGCAACUGCGGACUCCGCUUUCCACCUAGGCUCCUCAAGUCCCUUUUUUACUUCCCGUAAUUCUCUCAUCUUCUCUAAUUAUGAG
rnacentral:lncRNA from 1 species